rnacentral:lncRNA from 1 species
CUCAAAUCAUGAUGAAAAGUUGCUUACUGUGAUAGCAGAGAACAGGUCUUGAAAAUGCAUGAGAUCACCUCUAGUCAUCCUGUUUAAUAUUUGUUGAACUAUACUUGUUAGGCCUAAAAAGAACAUUUGCAAGAUAUGGACAAAAGAAAGGAGUCUCUCUAGUGCUGCUCAUAUGAAUAAGGCAAGCACUUAAAUGAGGCCAACUGGAUCCAACUAGAAGCCAAAUGUUUCUGUCAAGCCUGUGUAAUCUUGAAGCAUCCCUUUGUUCCUCAGGGAUGCCUGGUGGUUCUGCUGAGCUGGCACACAGCGCAUGGGGGCACCGCUCUCAGCUCUGCAUCCCCUUCCACCAGCAGCUUGGUGUGGCUGUCCUCCAGCAAGCACAAGAUUUUCUUGCCAAGGAAAUGUCCAGAAAUAACAUUCCAGGAGCUGGAAGUGUGAGCUGGUGCCAAGUCCCAGUCUCUGAGAUGGAUGGAUGCUGCUCUUUCUCCCUGGCUGCCAUCAGCUCCUCGCAGUAGGAGUUCCCCCCACGCUCCCAGGUGUACACGGGGUGUAACAGUACAGCUGCCUCCCUGAUAUGUCCAAAUAAUGACCUGAUCUUCAGCCGUACUCCUGGGCUCCCCCAGCACGCUCCUGCUGGGGCUAGCUCUGCACAGUGCUGUCUGGAAGGUGCUCACCAAUGCCUCUUCAGAAGAAGCAUUGAAAUGCCUCUUCAGAGAGAUGCCUCUUCAGUCAUAUCUUUUAAUCAGUCCGGAUAAAUGUUGUCAGUGGAAAGUUGCUACUGCUCACAACCUCUACAACUUUUAACAUGUACCACAUGUUCCUGCGUUACGGCUGGCUCGCUCUGCAUUCGCAUAGAAAAGACGGCAUGCAAACGCAUCCAACUGCUUUUAAAAUCAAAAGGAAUCUUUCCACUGAGUUUAACAAGAGCUGAAUUGAGGUCUUGUGACCCUGCUGCAGAAAAGUAUUUACACACAUGCCAAACUCCAAGCAUGUGAAGAAGCCCCAUGAAUUCAACAGGCUUAUCAGAUGCUUAAACACUUCAGUCAAGGCACCAGUGUUUUUUUAAGUUGCUGUAAUAGCGCCUCUGUUGUACAAAAUAAAAUCCAUGAUAGACUUCCCUUGCUCCA